rnacentral:rRNA from 1 species
GAUGAACGCUGGCGGCGUGCCUAAUACAUGCAAGUCGAGCGAACAGACGAGGAGCUUGCUCCUCUGACGUUAGCGGCGGACGGGUGAGUAACACGUGGAUAACCUACCUAUAAGACUGGGAUAACUUCGGGAAACCGGAGCUAAUACCGGAUAAUAUAUUGAACCGCAUGGUUCAAUAGUGAAAGACGGUUUUGCUGUCACUUAUAGAUGGAUCCGCGCCGCAUUAGCUAGUUGGUAAGUUAACGGCUUACCAAGGCGACGAUGCGUAGCCGACCUGAGAGGGUGAUCGGCCACCCUGGAACUGAGACAGGGUCCAGACUCCUACGGGAGGCAGCAGUAGGGAAUCUUACGCAAUGGGCGAAAGCCUGACGGAGCAACGCCGCGUGAGUGAUGAAGGUCUUCGGAUCGUAAAACUCUGUUAUUAGGGAAGAACAAAUGUGUAAGUAACUAUGCACGUCUUGACGGUACCUAAACAGAAAGCCACGGCUAACUACGUG